AAUGAACGUUGGCGGCGUGGAUUAGGCAUGCAAGUCGAGCGGAAAGGCCCGCAAGGGUACUCAAGCGGCGAAAGGGAGAGUAACACGUAGGUUACCUACCCUCCGACCCGGGAUAGCUGAGGGAAACUUCAGGUAAUACCGGAUAACGUCUCCGGCCCAAAGGUGUGAUUCCGUCGGGGGAGGGGCCUGCGUCCUAUUAGCUUGUUGGGGAGGUAACGGCGCACCAAGGCAAAGAUGGGUACGGGGUGUGAGAGCAUGCCCCCGCUCACUGGGACUGAGACACUGCCCAGACACCUACGGGUGGCUGCAGUCGAGGACCUUCGGCAAUGGGCGCAAGCCUGACCGAGCGACGCCGCGUGCGGGAUGAAGGCCUUCGGGUUGUAAACCGCUGUCAGGGGGGAGGAAAUGCUACGGGGUUCUCCCCGUAGUUUGACCUAGCCUCAGAGGAAGUACGGGCUAAGUUCGUGCCAGCCGCCGCGGUAAUAC
rnacentral:rRNA from 1 species